AAUAUGAGCAGUAUGGUUUUUCUCCUAAUUAUCCCGCGAAAUUGAGUGGAGAUCCAACAAAACAUCACGGAGCUAUGGAAUUAGAUGUUGCUUUGCCCUCAAAAAAGGAAUUUUUUUCUACAAUCAAAAUAAUGAAAGUUCUGACGACUAUAUUGACAAACAAUCUUGGACACUAUGAAAAAGAAUACAUGAAGGCAUUGGACAGCAAAGGAAGACAACCUGUUCUUAAGUUCCAGCAGGCACUGAAACAAAUAUCGAAGGACAUCAAAAAAAGAAACGAACUAGUGAGAGAGGAGAAUGCCAAAGAUGAAAGUCAAGUCCAAGAUUACAUAUAUACAUGGCUGGAUCCGGAUAAAGUUUUGAAUUCCAUCAGCAUCUAAUAUUCAUGAAUUCAUUCCCAUGAUUUAUCUGUCAAUCCAUGAACUAUAUAGAUGCAACAUUUAAAUAUAAAACUAAAAAAAGUUGGUUACUUAUUGUAUUUUUCUCUGUAAUAGUCUUUAAAUUUAUCAGUU